CAGAGAUGACAAAGGCUCCAGGAGAGGCAGAAGCCCUAAGCUGUGCCCAACUGGGCAGAGGGAUCCUUCUCCCAUCAUCACUGAUCUAAGAAGACCAACAACAUCUAUUGAAGUAAUUAUGAGAUGCCCUAUCCCACAGCAGCACUCUGGAUGGUGUCUGGAAGGCAAAGAUCCACGGAUAAAGCAGCAGGCUACACACUACAGGAACAGCUGCAAGAAAAAACAUUCCUGAAACAGCUCUUGCCUGCUGCCUCCUUCCUCAGACUGACACUUACUGUGUUCUGAAUAUCCAGUGGUACUAAUUAAAUGCUUAUAGAUUAUUAAUUAA